AUCCUCCUAAAUAAGUUUAGGAACCAAAUCAGCCUUUAUUUCAAUAUUUAUCAAGAACAAUGAAAGAAGUUGAACUAUAAUUUAGAAAUCACCAAGUUAAAAAACUACAUAGACAAUCAACAAAAGUGACAAUGGAAAUAGAUAAUUUUCGUAACACUUGAAUAAAACGGACAAGGAAAAUAGACAAGUUUUCAUUAAAAGUAUCAAAAUAUUAAUGAAGAGAUCAAAAUAUUGAUAGAAUAGUAAAAUUAAAAAUCUCAUAAUUAAAUGAAAACAAAAAUUGUUAAUUUGAAUUUUUCUCUAAACUUAACUUGCAAAAUUAGUACAGUGGAAUAGCUUUUAAAUGGUUGAAAAAACAUAAAAACUAUUAUUUCAAUAAUGGGAUUAACUAAAUAACAGAACUCUAAAGAUGGUUAUUAUUUAUUUUUUUUGAAAAGGUUUAAUGUUCUCAGCAGAAAAGCAAUUGAAGAAUCCAUUAAGGAAAAUUUUGAAAUGACUGAAGAUAUAAAAGACAAGUCACUUCUUACACUACAUAAAAAAAAAAAAAAAAAGAAAACGCUAAUGAUAUAGUUGCUUCUUCUCAAAAAAGUUAAAAAAAGACAAGUCGCCUCUUACCCUACAUAAAAAAAAACGCCAAUGAUAUAGUUCGAAGCAAAAUAGGUGUAACGUACUACGAAGGUUAUAAAUGUAAAAGCACGGGUGCCAGCAGAACUUUAGUUCACUGCUGACCUUGAUUUAAGCAUAUUGAAACAGUCAAAGAUUCACAUUUUUCAAGCUGAAGAUUGAACAUCACAAAAGAGCUCAAAAUCAGAAGCUCAUGAGUCCCCCCCCCAAAGCCCGCCAGCCAGCCACUCACACACAAGAAAGGAAGCAAAUAUAUUGGUAUAAGGGUUGCUGCCAACAUGAGAAACAAAGAUCAAAAUUAUGCUAAACUUUGUUCACAUACCAACAACAUUGCCCGAUUGUAAAACUAAAGCCGACUUUGAUUUAAGCAUAUAAAGGGAGGCCCAGAUUAUCCUUUUUCAAGCAGAAGAUUGAACAUCAGAAAAGAGCCCAAAAUAAUAAGCUCACUAGUCACCCACCAAAAGUUCACAAGACAGCCACUUACACACACAAGAAAGAAAACAAAUAUAUGGGUACAAAGGCUGUGGCCAACAUGAGAAACAAGGAUCAAAAUUAUGCAAAACUCUAUUCACAUACCAACAACGUUCACCGAAUGUAAAACUAAAGUCAACCAUGAUUCAAGCAUAUAAAAGGAGGCUCAUAUUCACCUUUAUCAAGCAGAAGAUUGAACAUCAAAAAAAGAGCUCAAAAUCAGAAGCUCAAGAGUCACCCACACAAAGCAAACUAAAGCCCACCUUGAUUUAAGCAUAAAAAAGGAGGCUCACAUUCGCUUUUCAAGCAGAAGAUUGAAUAUCACAAAAUAGCUCAAAAUCAGAAGUUCACGAGUCACCCAACCAAAGUAAACUAAAGCCGACCUUGAUUUAAGCAUAAAAAAGAAGGCUCAGGUUUGCCUUUUUCAAGCAAAAGAUUGAACAUCACAAAAGAACUCAAAAUUAGAAGCUCACGAGUCACCCACCCAAAAUUCGCUAGACAGCCAUUCACACACACAAGAAAGAAAGCAGCAGAUAUAUUCAUACGAGGGCAGUUGGCAAAAUGAGAAAAAUGCGAAACUUCGUUCAUAUACCAAAAACAUUUACCCAAUGUAAAACUAAAGCUGACCUUGAUUUAAGCAUAGAAAAGGAGGCUCAGAUUCGCAUAUUUCAAGCAGAAGAUUGAUUAUCACAAAAGAGGUCAAAAUUAGAAGCUCAUGAGUCACCCAUCCAAAGUUCGCCAGACAGCCACUCAAACACACAAGAAAGAAAGCAGAUAUAUUGGUAUAAGGGCUGAUGCCAACAUGAGAAACAAUCAUCAAAAUUAUGCCAAACUUUGUUCACAUACCAAAAACGUUCACCGAAUGUAAAACUAAAGUCGAUCUUGAUUUAAGCAUAUAAAAUGAGGCUUACAUUCGCCUUUUCAAGCAGAAGAUUGAACAUUACAAAAGAGCUAAAAAUCAGAAGCUCAAGAGUCACCCACCCAAAGUUCGCAGACACAAGAAAGAAAGCAUAUAUAUUGGUAUAAGGGCUGUUGCCAACAUGAGAAACAGGGACCGAAAUUAUGCAAAACUUUAUUCACAUACCAACAACGUUCACCGAAUGUAAAACUAAAGCCGACCUUGAUUUAAGCCUAUAAAAUGAGGCUUAGAUUCGCCUUUUUCAAGCAGAAGAUUGAACAUCACAAAAGAGCUCCAAAUCAAAAGCUUGUGAGUAACCCAUCAGAAGCUCACGAGUCAACCACCAAAAGGUUGCAAGACAGCCAUUCACAAACAAGAAAAAAAACUGAUAUAUUGGUACAAGGGCUGUGGCCAACAUGAGAAACAAGGAUCAAAAUCACGCAAAACUUUAUUCACAUACCAACAACGUUCAUUAGAAGUAAAACCAAAGCCGACCUUGAUUUAAGUAUACAAAACGGGCUCCAAUUCGCAUUUUUCGAGCAGAAGAUUGAACAUCACAAAAGAGCUCAAAACCAUAAGCUCACGAGUAAACCACCCAUAGUACGCAAAUCAGCCAUUCACACACACAAGAAAGAAAGCAAAAGAUUGAACAUCACAAAAGAGCUCAAAAUCAGAAGCUCAUGAGUAACCCACCCAAAGUACGCAAGUCACACACAAGAAAGAAAGCAGAUGCAUCGGUAUAAUGGCUGUGGCCAACAUGAGAAACAAGGAUCAAAAUUAUGCCCAACUUUACUGUCAUACCAACAACAUUAACCGAAUGUAAAACUAAGGCUGACCAUGAUUUAAACAUAUUAAAAGAGGCUCAGAUUCGCCAUGUUCAAGCAGAAGAUUGAACAUAACAAAAGAGCUCAAAAUCAGAAGCUCACAACUCACCCAACCAAAGUUCACCAGAGCUAACCUUGAUUUUAGCAUAUUGAAAGAGUCAAAGAUUCACAUUUUUCAAGCAGAAGAAUGAAAUCACAAAAGAGCUCAAAAUUAGAAGCUCACAAGUCACCCAUCCAAAGUUCGCCAGACAGCCACUCAAACACACAAGAAAGAAAGCAAAUAUAUUGGUAUAAGGGUUGUUGCCAACAUGAGAAACGAGGAUCCAUAUUAUGCCAAAUUUUGUUCACGUACCAACAACAUUCACUGAAUGUAAACCUAAAGCCGACAUUGAUUUAAGCAUACCAAAGGAGGCUCACAUUUGCAUUUUCAAGCAGAAGAAUGAACAUUGCAAAAGAGCUCAAAUCAGAAGCUCACGAGUCACCCACCCAAAUUUUGCCAGACAGCCACUCACACACAAGAAAAAAAGGCAGAUAUAUUGGUGUAAGGGCUGUUGCCAACAUGAAAAACAAGGAUCAAAAUUAUGCCAAACUUUGUUCACAUACCAACAAUAUUCAUCGAAUGUAAAACUAAAGCCUAACUUGAUUUAAGCAUAUAAAAGGAGACUCAGAUUCGCAUUUUUCAAGCAGAAGAUUAAACAUCACAAAAAAACUCAAAAUCAGAAGCUCACGAGUCUCCCAACCAAAGUAAACUAAAGUCGACCUUAAUUUAAGCAUAAAAAAGAAGCCUCAGAUUCGCCUUUUCAAGUAGAAGAUUGAACAACACAAAACAGCUCAAAAUUAGAAGCUCACGAGUCACCCACCCAAAGUUCGCUAGACAGCCACUCACACACACAAGAAAGAAAGCAGCAGAUAUAUUCGUCUGAGGGCGGUUGGCAAAAUGAGAAACAAGAACAAAAAAAAUCCCAAGCUUUGUUCGCAAAAAAAAAAUACCAAAAACAUUUAACAAAUGUAAAAACAAAAACCGACCUUGAUUUAAGCAUAACUCACACACACAAGAAAGAAAGCAGCAGAUAUAUUCGUAUGAGGGCGGUUGGCAAAAUGAGAAACAAGAACAAAAAAAAUCCCAAACUUUGUUCGCAAAAAAAAAAUACCAAAAACAUUUAACAAAUGUAAAAACUAAAACCGACCUUGAUUUAAGCAUAUAAAAGGAGGCUCAGAUUCGCAUAUUCCAAGCAGAAGAUUGAUUAUCACAAAAAAGCUCAAAAUUGGAAGCUCACGAGUCACCCAUCCAAAGUUCACCAAACAGUCACUCAAACACACAAGAAAGAAAGCAUAUAUAUUGGUAUAAGGGUUGUUGCCAACAUGAGAAACAAUAAUCAAAUUAUGCCAAACUUUGUUCCCAUACCAACAACAUUCACCGAAUGUAAAACUAAAGCCAACCUUCAUUUAGGCAUAUAAAUGGAGGCUCAGAUUCGACUUUUUCAAGCAGAAGAUUCAACAUCACAAAAAAGAUCAAAGUCAGAAGCUCAUGAGACACCCACCCAAAGUUCGCUAGACAGCCGCUCACAAACACACGAAAGAAAGCAGAUAUAUUGGUAUAAGGGCUUUUGCCAACACGAGAAACAAGGAUCAAAAUUAUGCCAAACUUUGCUCCCAUACCAACAACAUUGCCCGAGUGUAAAAAAAAAAAAAAAAGCCGACCUUGAUUUAAACAUAUAAACGGAGGCUCAGAUUCAUCUUUUUCAAGUAAAAGAUCGACCAUCACAAAAAAAGAACAAAAUCAGAAACUCACGAGUCACCCACCAAAAGUUCACCAAACGGCCACUCACACACACAAGAAAGAAAUCAGAUAUAUUGGUAAAAGGGUUGUAGUCAAUAUGAGAAAGAAGGAUCAAAAUUACGCAAAAUUUUGUUCACAUACGAACAAGAUUCAACGCAUGUAAAACUAAAGCUCACGAGUUCAAAGGAGCUCAAAAUCAAAAACUCAAAAGUCACCCACCCAAUGCACACACAAAAAAGAAAGCAGAUAUAUGGGUAUAAGAGAUGUUGCCAACAUGAGAAACAAGGAUCAAAAUUGUGCCCAACUUUGCUCUCAUACCACAACAUUCACCGAAUGUAAAAGUAAAGCCGACCAAGAUUUAAGCAUAUAAAAGGAGGCUCAGAUUCGCCUUUAUCAAGCAGAAAAUUGAACAUCACAAAAGAACUCAAAAUUAGAAGCUCACAAGUCACCCAACCAAAGUUCACCAUAGCUGACCUUGAUUUAAGCAUAUUGAAACAAUCACAGAUUCACAUUUUUCAAGCAGAAGAUUGAACAUCACAAAAGAGCUCAAAAUCAGAAGCUCACAAGUCACCCACCCAAAGUUCUCCAGAUAGCCACUCACACACACAAGAAAGAAAGCAGGCAUAUUGGUAUAAGGGUUGUCGCCAACAUGAGAAACAAGAAUCAAAAUUACGCCAAACUUUGUUCAAAUACCAACAACAUUCACAGAAUGUAAAACUAAAGUCGACCUUGAUUUAAGAGUAUAAAAGGCUGCCCAGAUUCGCCUUUUUCAAGCAAAAUAUUCAACAUCACAAAAGAGCUCAAAAACAGAAGCCCACAAGCCACCCACCUAGAGUUCAGCAGAUGAACACUCACACACAUAAGAGAGACAUCAGAUAUAUUUGUGUAACGGUUGUUGCCAACAUGAGAACCAAGGAUCAAAAUUAUGCAAAACUUUAUUCACAUACCUACAACGUUGACUGAAUGUAGAACUAAACCCGACCUUGAUAAAGCACAUAAAAUGAGGCUUAGAUUUGCCUAUUUCAAGCAGAAGAUUGAACAUCACAAAAGAGCUAAAAAUCAGAAGCUCACGAGUCAUUCACCCAAAGUUCGCCAGACAGCCACUCACACACACACACAAGAAAUAAAGCAGAUAUAUUCGUUUAAGGGCUGCUGCCAACAUGAGAAACAAGGAUCGAAAUUAUGCAAAACUUUAUUCACAUACCAACAACGUUCAGUGAAUGUAAAACUAAAGCCGAGCUUGAUUUAAGCCUAUAAAAUGAGGCUCAGACUCUCCUUUUUCAAGCAGAAGAUUGAACAUCGGAAAAGAAAUCAAAAUAAGAAGCUCACGAGUCGCCCACCAAAAGUUUGCAAGACAGCCACUCACACACACAAGAAAGAAAGCAUAUAUAUUAGUAUAAGGGCUGUUGCCAACAUGAGAAACAAGGAUCGAAAUUGCGCAAAACCUUAUUCCAAUACCAACAACGUUCAUUGAAUGCAAAACUAAAGCCGACAACAGAUAUAUGGCUACAAGGGUUGUGCCCAAGAUGAGAAACAAUGAUCAAAAUUAUGCAAAGCUUUAUUCACAUACCAACGAUGUUCACCGAAUGUAAAACUAAAGUCGACCAUGAUUCAAGCAUAUAGCAGGAGGCUCUGAUUCGCCUUUAUCAAGCAGAAGAUUGAACAUCAAAAAGAGCUCAAAAUCAGAAGCUUAAGAGUCACCCACACAAAGCAAACUAAAGCCCACCUUGAUUUAAGCAUAUAAAAGCAGGCUCAAAUUCGCUUUUCAAGCAGAAGAUUGAAUAUCACAAAAUAGCUCAAAAUCAAAAGCUCAUGACUUACCCCCCAAAGCAUUCUAAAGUCGACUCGACUUAAGCACAUAAAAGGAAGCUAAGAUUUGCCUUUUCAAACCAGAAGAUUGAAAGUCACAAAAAAGCACAAAAUCAGAAGCUGAAAAAUCACCCACACAAAGCAAAAUAAAGCCCACCUUGAUUUAAGCAUAUAAAAGGAGGCUCAAAUUCGCUUUUCAAGAAGAAGAUUGAAUAUUACAAAAUAGCCCAAAAUCAAAAGCUCACGACUCACCCUCCCAAACCAAUCUAAACCCAACCUAGACUUAAGCACAUAAAAGGAGGUUCAAAUGCCCCUUUUUAAAGCAGAAGAUUGAACAUCACAAAAAAGCUCAGAAUCAGAAGCUCACAGGUCACCCACCCAAAGCAAUCUAAAGUCCACUUAGACUUAAGCACAUAAAAAGAGGCUCAGAUUUGCCUUUUUUAAGCAGAAGAUUGAAAAUCACAAAAAAGCUCAAAAUCAGAAGCUCACAGUUCACCCACCCAAAGCAAUCUAAAGAAGAACCUGAUUGAAGAGUAUAAAAGGAGGCUCAGAUUCGUCUUUUUCAAGCAGAAGAUUGAACAUCAAAAAAGAGCUCAAAAUUAGAAGCCCAAGGGUAACCCACACAAAGCAAACUAAAGCCCACCUUGAUUUAAGCAUAUAAAAGGAGGCCCAAAUUCGUUUUUCAAGCAGAAGAUUGAAUAUCACAAAAUAGCUCAAAAUCAAAAGCUCACGACUCACCCCCCAAAGUAAUUUAAAGCCGACAUAGACUUAAACACAUAAAAGGAGGCUCAGGUUCGCCUUUUUAAAGCAGUAGAUUGAACAUCACAAAAACGCUCAAAAUCAGAAGCUCAAGAGUCACACACACACAAAGCAAACUAAAGCGCACCUUGAUUUAAACAUAUGAAAGGAUGCUCAAAUUUGCUUUUCAAGCAGAAGAUUGAAUAUCACAAAAUAGCUCAAAAUCAGAAGCUCACUACUCACCCCCCAAAGCAAUCUAAAGUCGACUUAGACUUAAGCACAUAAGAGGCUCAGAUUUGACUUUUUAAAGCAGAAGAUUGAACAACACAAAAAAAGCUCAAAAUCAGAAGCUCACAGGUCACCCACUUAAAGCAAUCUAAAGCCGACCCUGAUUUAAGCGUAUAAAAGCAGACUCAGAUUCGCCCUUUUCAUGCAGAAGAUUGAAUAUCACAAAAGAGCUCAAAAUCAGAUGCUUACGGGUCACCGAACCAAAGUAAACUAGAGCCGGCCUUGCUUUAAGCGUGUAAAAGGAGUCUCAGAUUCGGCUUUUUCAAGUAGAAGAUUGAACAUCAAAAAAGAGCUCAAAAUUAGAAGCCCAAGGGUCACCCACACAAAGCAAACUAAAGCCCACCUUGAUUUAAGCAUAUAAAAGNNNNNNNNNNNNNNNNNNNNGCAGAAGAUUGAAUAUCACAAAAUAGCUCAAAAUCAGAAGCUCACGACUCACCCCCCAAAGCAAUUUAAAGCCGACAUAGACUUAAACACAUAAAAGGAGGCUCAGGUUCGCCUUUUUAAAGCAGAAAAUAGAUUGAACAUCACAAAAAAGCUCAUAAUCAGAAGCUCAAGAGUCACACACACAAAGCAAACUAAAGCGCACCUUGAUUUAAACAUAUGAAAGGAUGCUCAAAUUCGCUUUUCAAGCAGAAGAUUGAAUAUCACAAAAUAGCUCAAAAUCAGAAGCUCACUACUCACCCCCCAAAGCAAUCUAAAGUCGACUCAGACUUAAGCACAUAAAAGGAGGCUCAGAUUUGACUUUUUAAAGCAGAAGAUUGAACAUCACAAAAAAAGCUCAAAAUCAGAUGGAAGAUUAAACAUCACAAAAAAAGCUCAAAAUCAGAUGGAAGAUUAAACAUCACAAAAAAAGCUCAAAAUCAGAUGGAAGAUUAAACAUCACAAAAAAAGCUCAAAAUCAGAUGGAAGAUUAAACAUCACAAAAAAAGCUCAAAAUCAGAUGGAAGAUUAAACAUCACAAAAAAAGCUCAAAAUCAGAUGGAAGAUUAAACAUCACAAAAAAAGCUCAAAAUCAGAUGGAAGAUUAAACAUCACAAAAAAAGCUCAAAAUCAGAAGCUCGCGACUCACCCCCCAAAGCAAUUGAAAGCCGACAUAGACUUAAACACAUAAAAGGAGGCUCAGAUUUGACUUUUUAAAGCAGAAGAUUGAAUAUCACAAAAUAGCUCAAAAUCAGAAGUUCGCGACUCACCCCCCAAAGCAAUUGAAAGCCGACAUAGACUUAAACACAUAAAAGGAGGCUCAGGUUCGCCUUUUUAAAGCAGNNNNNNNNNNNNNNNNNNNNNNNNNNNNNNNNNNNNNNNAGAGUCACACACAAAGCAAGCUAAAGCGCACCUUGAUUUAAACAUAUGAAAGGAUGCUCAAAUUCGCUUUUCAAGCAGAAGAUUGAACAUCACAAAAAAGCUCAAAAUCAGAAGCUCACUACUCACCCCCCAAAGCAAUCUAAAGUCGACUUAGACUUAAGCAAAUAAAAGGAGGCUCAUAUUUUACUUUUUAAAGCAGAAGAUUGAACAUCACAAAAAAAGCUCAAAAUCAGAAGCUCACAGGUCACCCACUUAAAGCAAUCUAAAGCCGACCCUGAUUUAAGCGUAUAAAAGCAGACUCAGAUUCGCCCUUUUCAUGCAGAAGAUCGAAUAUCACAAAAAAGCUCAAAAUCAGAUGCUUACGGGUCACCGAACCAAAGUAAACUAGAGCCGGCCUUGCUUUAAGCGUGUAAAAGGAGUCUCAGAUUCGGCUUUUUCAAGCAGAAGAUUGAACAUCACAAAAGAGCUCAAAAUCAGAAGCUCAAGAGUCACCCACACAAAGCAAACUAAAGCCCAUCUUAAUUUAAGCAUAUAAAAGGAGGCUCAAAUUCGCUUUUCGAGCAGAAGAUUGAAUAUCACAAAUACUUCAAAAUGGAAAAAAUACUUCAAAGCAAAAAGAAAAAAAAGCAAAAUUUUGACUUACCUUUUCUGUUAAAUCCCUCUACCCCUCCCUUGCUCUCCUCUUAAAAAUCAAGCAAAGAAAGAAAAAGAAAUCGAAAAAGAAAGAAGAGAAAAACGGAAAAACAAAGAAAAAGAAAGAAAAAAGAAAAUUAGAAAUCGAGCAAACAAAAUACAGACAAAAGAAAAGAAAAUAAUAGAAGAAAAAACGAAAAAGAAAAAGAAAAAGAAAGAAAAAGAAGAGAAACGAAAAAGAAAGAAAUAAGAAAAUUUAAAAAAUUUAAAAAAAAAAAAAAAACAAAAAGAAAACGUGGCAAAAACGAAACAGCUAUGAAAUCCCGCUCCCUCGCCCUUACUCUACCCUGAAAAAUCAAGCGAAGAAAGAAAAAGAAAUCGAAAAAGAAAGACGAGAAAACCAAAAAAACAAAGAAAAAGAAAGAAAUAAGAAAAUAAGAAAUCGAGCAAACAAAAUACAGACAAAAGAAAAAAAAAAUAAUAGAAAGAAGAAAGAAAAACGAAAAAGAAAGAAAAAGAAGAAACGAAACUCACUUGCCUCGCUGAGUAAAGAAG
rnacentral:lncRNA from 1 species